rnacentral:rRNA from 1 species
UGGCGGACGGGUGAGUAAUGUCUGGGAAACUGCCUGAUGGAGGGGGAUAACUACUGGAAACGGUAGCUAAUACCGCAUAACGUCGCAAGACCAAAGAGGGGGACCUUCGGGCCUCUUGCCAUCGGAUGUGCCCAGAUGGGAUUAGCUAGUAGGUGGGGUAAAGGCUCACCUAGGCGACGAUCCCUAGCUGGUCUGGGAGGAUGACCAGCCACACUGGAACUGAGACACGGUCCAG